UCUCUCUCUAACUUUUGAGAAUACCAUGCACUUUCUCUCUCUCUCCAAGUGUUGACAAAACAAACUCGCUCUUUGAAUCGUCCGAAAACUCAGAACGAAACUCAAAAUUUCCACCUCUUUCAAUUUCCUCAAUGGCUUCCACCGAAAAAAACCUACGCAAAACCCUAGCCGACAAACUCUCCGCCGUCGAAAUCCAAGCAACGCCGUCCGUUCACUCAAGGCUUCAUCGACACCUAAACCUGACAUCGAAGCCGCCGCUCAAGCCCUAAACGCCUCAAACUUGAGUAAUCAUCGAUAGAUAAAUCAUCCAUAGCUUUAGUCGUUUCUCUCUGGCUCCGAUUCUCGUGAAGGCUUCCAUCAAUUCGUUGUUAAUACGCUUGAAGCCAUGGUUGUUUUUAUAUUAUAUCGUUUAAGAUUUAUUGCAGUGUUGCUGGUCUAUAUGAUUAUGGUUACAAAACAGUAAACUAACUAAUUAGAGAUUUAUCAAAUUAAUUUCUAUGCAGCGAAGAAUGAAAUGUGAUUAGGAGCUGAAUUUUGUUAGAUUAGGAGUUGGAUUUCGGUAGUUUAGGAGUUGUUUGGAUUGAAUUAUUUUAGCUUAUUUUCUGUCAUAAUCAGUUAGAAGGGGGAGAAUGUUUGAAAAAACUUAUAGUAGAAACAGUUUAGGAUAUGUUUGGGUUGAUUUAUUUUUAGCUUAUCUAGUGGCAUAAGCACUUGUUAACUGUUAGGGGUAACUUAGGAAAGCAACUUAGACAUGUUCAUAAUUUGUUUUCAUUUUAUUUUUCGUAAGCUUAUGGAAAUAGGUUACAGUUAUAUGAAAAUAAUUUUACUCUAGGAUUUUUUUUUAUAGAAAUAGCUUAUAUGGAAGUGGUUUAUUGAUUUGUUUAUCCAAAUGAGCCUUACCGGUAUGUCCAUAAGCUGUUUUAGAAUACUUUAUUAAGCUUUAUAGAUAGAUUUAUGGAGAUUUCUUAUAGCUCAGAUGAAAUCAAUUUUAUUUUAUUUGAUAUUUUGUUAAAAUCAGCUAGAGCAGCCGCAACUGCGACACAGUAAAAGAGUUUCGUGUUCCCAGUCUCGUUUGAGCAGCAAAGACGAGUGAUAUGGUGGGAGUGGUUAGGGAACUGUUAGGGGAUCGGAGUUGAUGUGGCUCUCUUCUCUUCAUCUCUUUUCAAAUUGCAGCCUCUCCUUUCUCACUGAUUGGAAAAAUACACACAGUUUAUUGUACUGAAUUAUAACUUUAUAAGAGCAUUGUUGAAGCUUCCGUUCAUGUGCCGACAUCAGUAGAUCAGAAAGUUGUUGCAGGUCUUAUGGUUUUUAUGUUGCUUACAAGUUCACCUAUCAAGAUAUUAUAAGUGAUAGGAAAGGCCUCAAAGUCAAACUCUUUAGUGUAUUUUCUUUGUUCUCAAUCCUAGCUUCUACUAUUUCUCCUCCAUAUUUGAUUUGUCAUUUAUCACUUAUCAAGGACUAAACUAUGUUUGCAUCACUCCAGGGAGAUGGACCUUUUGUUGGUUCCUUACUCAUCAGAUCCUAGCUUGAAAAUAAUUCAACGGCCACCAUUCAUUCUUGCAAGCAAGAUUCUUAUUUCACUGGAUAUGGCAACUCAAUUUCGAGGAAGGGACUGUGAUCUUUGGAAACACAUAUGUGCAGACGAAUAUAUGAAAUGUGCGGUCAAAUUGCAGGCUCAGUUGUAAGACACAAUUCCACCAACAACAUAUGUUACAGCCUCGACAACUUUCACAAGUUCUUCGAAUGUUUCCGUAAAUAUAUCUUUCACCGAACCUUGUAUAGGCUAAGGUUUUGGAUGCAAGUCUAGGAAUAUCUGCAAUCUUCUUGUCUAUGGUGCUGGUCAGGUUGUACCAUCUUCCUUUAGAAUUCUAAAGCCAAACCUCAUGUAUUCUCUUCUUGUUAGUUUAUCUCUUCUUGAGAAAUUACAUUUACAGUAAAAGUACUUUUCUAUAAGAAAAUAGAAUUUGACUCUGGGCAUAUUUGAGUAGCUACUGCGCUUAUUUUACAUCACAGGGAGUCAACAAUGUCAUUUAAGACAAGGGAAGAUGGCCAGGUUUUAGUAUAUGCAGUAAGUCACAAACCAAAUCUUAUCUUUUCUAUCAACAUAAAAUUUCUUUUUCUAUCUUGUGUUGUAAUGUGGUUCACAAUUUAUGAAACAUCCAUUUUGUAAUUCAGAUUUUAAUUUAGCAUCCAAAUUUUCACUUGAUACUGAAUACUGAACUUUGUAUUCAACUUUAUACUGUUUCUAUUACAGGAAAA